rnacentral:misc_RNA from 1 species
UUGGAACUCUCAUGGUUACAGGAGUGUUUCUUACAGUGCUUUUUAUGCAUAGAAGUAAAAUACCAUCAGUCACACAGAUUAUAGCAACAUUGUAUGUAAAAGAUCGUUACCUGGUGCUUUUGGUAUAGGGAACCAUGAAAAAUUGUUGUGAUUUUGUGCAAUUUGUUUGCACCAAAUCUCAUUCUAUUUCUUUUGCAUGUAUUGGUAUGCUAUAGGAAAUCUUCAUGAUUUAUGUUUGAUCUGAUACAUUUGUGAAGGAUUAGAAAUUUAAAGUGACAAUUCAUUCCUAGUCAAAGCACAAUUUUGACUUUACUGGCUGCAGUGAAUAGUGGCUGUGGAAGCUCCAUUUAAUUACUCUGAAAAUCAACUAUAUUUUAAAGAUUUCAAUCAGCGGUAUCAUUUUAAAAUAAACCAUUCUUUCAUACGUAAAAAAAAAUCAUCUAUAUUAAUCAGUUAUGUGGGAUAGAUGUGUGUGUGUGUAUUUGGAGAGAGAGAGAGAGAGAGAGAGAGUUAUAUUUUUAUCAUUUUCAUAAACCAUAAGACUAUGGAAGGUUGACUUAAGUUGUUUACAUGUAUUGUCUGAACUGCAUUACCGAUAUUAAUGUAUUGGCACUGCAGGCGUUCCUUAUGUUCGUUGAAUAUCAUUUUCCUGGAAGAUUUUGUUGGGAAAAUACAAGUACGUGAGUUACAGUCUAAAAGACACCUUUUGUGUAAAUUUCUGGGUAAUAAAAUCGUGAAACCUU